GUAGGGAAUAUUGCGCAAUGGACGAAAGUCUGACGCAGCGACGCCGCGUGAGUGAUGAAGGCCUUAGGGUCGUAAAGCUCUGUUGAAUGGGAAGAAAAAAAUGACGGUACCAUUCGAGGAAGGACCGGCUAACUUCGUGCCAGCAGCCGCGGUAAUACGAGGGGUCCUAGCGUUGUUCGGAAUCAUUGGGCGUAAAGGGUGUGUAGGUGGCCAUGUAAGUCAGGUGUGAAAGCCCCGGGCUCAACCCGGGAAGUGCACUUGAUACUGCGUGGCUUGAGUACCGAAGAGGGUAGUGGAAUUCCAGGUGUAGUGGUGAAAUACGUAGAUAUCUGGAGGAACACCGGUGGCGAAGGCGGCUACCUGGUCGAGUACUGACACUGAGACACGAAAGCAUGGGGAUCAAACAGGAUUAGAAACCCGGGUAGUCC
rnacentral:rRNA from 1 species